rnacentral:tRNA from 1 species
GGGGAUAUGGCGCAGAUGGUAGCGCACCUGCAUGGCAUGCAGGGGGUCAAGGGUUCGAAUCCCUUUAUCUCCA